CCUGUUUAACAAAAACAUCGUCUUUUGUUUACUCACAUAAAAGAUAAUGCCUGCCCAGUGAAAACUUUAAACGGCCGCGUUAGCGUGAGCGUGCUAAGGUAGCGUAAUAAAUAGCCUCUUAAUUGGAGGCCAGUGAAUGGCAAGACUAGGGAUAUCUGUACCCUGUAUAAAAAAACAACUUUUCAUCUGGGUGAAAAGACCUAGAUAAUAAAGGAAGACGAAAAGACCCCGCGGAACUUUACCUUUUCCAGUCUCCACAUGCUCAGAAACACAAAAACAAAAGGUUUGAUUGGGGCAAUCUCGGAACAAACCAAACUUCCGACUUACAACUCAAAAGUAUACAAAACUUAAUAAGGACCAAAAAGAAGUUA
rnacentral:rRNA from 1 species